GAUGAACGCUGGCGGCGUGCUUAACACAUGCAAGUCGAACGGAAAGGCCCUGCUUUUGUGGGGUGCUCGAGUGGCGAACGGGUGAGUAACACGUGAGUAACCUGCCCUUGACUUUGGGAUAACUUCAGGAAACUGGGGCUAAUACCGGAUAGGAGCUCCUGCUGCAUGGUGGGGGUUGGAAAGUUUCGGCGGUUGGGGAUGGACUCGCGGCUUAUCAGCUUGUUGGUGGGGUAGUGGCUUACCAAGGCUUUGACGGGUAGCCGGCCUGGGAGGGUGACCGGCCACAGUGGGACUGGGGAACGGCCCAGACUGCUACGUGAGGCAGCGGUGGGGAAUAUUGCACAAUAGGCGGAAGCGUGAUGCAGCGACGCCGCGUGCGGGAUGACGGCCUUCGGGUUGUAAACCGCUUUCGCCUGUGACGAAGCGUGAGUGACGGUAAUGGGUAAAGAAGCACCGGCUAACUACGUG
rnacentral:rRNA from 1 species